GAUGAACGCUGGCGGCGUGCUUAACACAUGCAAGUCGAACGAAGCAAUCUUGAAACUUCGGUUUCAAAAUUGACUUAGUGGCGGACGGGUGAGUAACGCGUAGGUAACCUGCCUUAUACAGGGGGAUAACAGCUGGAAACGGCUGCUAAUACCGCAUAACACAGUGAAGUCGCAUGACUUUAUUGCCAAAGAUUUAUCGGUAUAAGAUGGACCUGCGUCUGAUUAGCUAGUUGGUGAGGUAAUGGCUCACCAAGGCGACGAUCAGUAGCCGACUUGAGAGAGUGAUCGGCCACAUUGUGACUGAGACACGGCCCAAACUCCUACGGGAGGCAGCAGUGGGGAAUAUUGCACAAUGGGGGAAACCCUGAUGCAGCGACGCCGCGUGAGUGAUGAAGUAUUUCGGUAUGUAAAGCUCUAUCAGCAGGGACGAAAAAAGACGGUACCUGACUAAGAAGCCCCGGCUAACUACGUGCCAGCCGCCGCCGUAA
rnacentral:rRNA from 1 species